UACGAAGGGGGCGAGCGUUGUUCGGAAUUACUGGCGUAAAGGGCGCGCAGGCGGCCCCUGAAGUCAGGCGUGAAAGCCCUGGGCUCAACCUGGGAAUUGCGCUUGAUACUCUGGGGCUGGAGUGCGGGAGAGGAGAGUGGAAUUCCCAGUGUAGAGGUGAAAUUCGUAGAUAUUGGGAAGAACACCGGUGGCGAGGGCGGCUCUCUGGACCGUAACUGACGCUGAGGCGCGAAAGCGUGGGGAGCAAACAGG
rnacentral:rRNA from 1 species